rnacentral:rRNA from 1 species
GAUGAACGCUGGCGGCGUGCCUAAUACAUGCAAGUCGAGCGAACAGACGAGGAGCUUGCUCCUCUGACGUUAGCGGCGGACGGGUGAGUAACACGUGGAUAACCUACCUAUAAGACUGGGAUAACUUCGGGAAACCGGAGCUAAUACCGGAUAAUAUAUUGAACCGCAUGGUUCUAUAGUGAAAGACGGUUUUGCUGUCACUUAUAGAUGGAUCCGCGCCGCAUUAGCUAGUUGGUAAGGUAACGGCUUACCAAGGCAACGAUGCGUAGCCGACCUGAGAGGGUGAUCGGCCACACUGGAACUGAGACACGGUCCAGACUCCUACGGGAGGCAGCAGUAGGGAAUCUUCCGCAAUGGGCGAAAGCCUGACGGAGCAACGCCGCGUGAGUGAUGAAGGUCUUCGGAUCGUAAAACUCUGUUAUUAGGGAAGGACAAAUGUGUAAGUAACUAUGCACGUCUUGACGGUACCUAAUCAGAAAGCCACGGCUAACUACGUG